AUGAAUGCUGGCUGUAUGGAUAAGGCAUGCAAGUCGAACGGCCCGCAAGGGCAGUGGCAGACGAGGUAGUAACACGUACGAACGUACUCCAAAGUCGGGCAUAGCUCACCGAAAGGUGAGGUAAUUCCCGAUAGUCCCGUGAGGGUAAAGAUUUAUCGCUUUGGAAGCGGCGUGCGUAGUAUCAGCUUGUUGGUAAGGUAAUGGCUUACCAAGGCUACGACGCUUAGGGGAGCUGAGAGGCUGACCCCCACCGAUGGGACUGAGACACGGCCCAUACUCCUACGGGAGGCCGCAGUCGAGAAUCUUCCGCAAUGGACGAAAGUCUGACGGAGCGAUACAGCGUGAUGGACGAAGUGCCUCGGCACGUAAACAUCUUUUAUGUGGGACGAAAUUAUUGACGGUACCACAUGAAUAAGGGGCUCCUAACUCUGU
rnacentral:rRNA from 1 species